rnacentral:tRNA from 1 species
GUGACGAUGGGCGAGAGGUUGAAGCCGCCAGACUGUAAAUUUGGUCCUUAAAAAGCACGUAGGUUCGAAUCCUACUCGUUACACCA